ensembl:lncRNA
CCCUUCUCCCCCAAUCUGCCUUGACUGUGCCCAUCGCCUGGUGCCGUCUUCUGUCUCGGGACCCUGGCUUGAGCCGUCCCCUUUGCCUGGAACGCCUUUCCUGCCUUGUCUGCCUAGACCGUGGCCCUCGAGGACAGGGAACGUGCCAUUCCUGGGCAUCCUCUCAACCCUGUGUGGUGUGGAUGAAUGGGUGCUGCCACGCCCUGGGGAGCUACACCUGGUUAUUAAGCACCUGUCACGCGCUGGGCCCGUCACAGUGCGGUGCUGGGGACCUGCGUGGGCCACAAUCAGCUCAGGGUCCAGGACUUGACAACAGGGCCCACGUUCCUGCAUCGCCAGUCUUUUCCCUGCACAGGUAGUGAAAUUUUAAACAGGCACAUUCCUGCUGCCCAAUUUUCAUUAAUUGGAUCUAAAAGGGUUUCUAUGUUCUCCCCAGACGUUGAUUGAUCCAGCCGAGGUAAACAGCUCCACCAAAACUGAGCAGGGAGUGAGGCUGCUGAAGGAGAUGGGAUAACUGAUGUUACUUGACAUUUACUCAGAGAGAGGAAG